rnacentral:rRNA from 1 species
AUUGAACGCUGGCGGCAUGCCUAACACAUGCAAGUCGAACGGCAACAUGGUCUAGCUUGCUAGACUGAUGGCGAGUGGCGAACGGGUGAGUAAUGCGUAGGAAUAUGCCUUAAAGAGGGGGACAACUUGGGGAAACUCAAGCUAAUACCGCAUACACUCUUAGGAGGAAAGCUGGGGACCAUUAGGCCUGGCGCUUUAAGAAUAGCCUACGUCCGAUUAGCUAGUUGGUGGGGUAAAGGCCUACCAAGGCGACGAUCGGUAGCUGGUCUGAGAGGACGGCCAGCCACACUGGAACUGAGACACGGUCCAGACUCCUACGGGAGGCAGCAGUGGGGAAUAUUGGACAAUGGGGGGAACCCUGAUCCAGCAAUGCCGCGUGUGUGAAGAAGGCCUGAGGGUUGUAAAGCACUUUCAGUGGGGAGGAGGUUAAUUAGGUUAAGAGCUAGAUUAAUGGACGUUACCCACAGAAGAAGCACCGGCUAACUCCGUGCCAGCCACCGCCGUAA